ensembl:lincRNA
GAAAAUAAAAUAAAAAAAAAUUUUGCUUUGCAUGACUAAAGAAUUCUGGGGCAAAAUGCCAUGAAUUCUAUGUGUUGCUUUCCUCUAGUCCUGGAGUUCUGCUGUUUUCCUUGAUUGUGUGCUUGGUCUUGCCUGGAUGUUCUUGCUGAUCUUCUGGGGAAGGGGCCUGUUGCAGAACAAAGGGAAUGUGGAAAUGAAAGAGAGAGGGAGAGAGAGGCUGGCAGAUGUAAUGAGACGCGGUGAAGGUGUACGCAGACUGGCACUCCCACUCCUCCCUUCUGCUCUCACUGCAGCCCUGGGUAACUCGCAGGCUAACACAAACAGCUUUUCUCCCGCAGCCUGCCCUCUGUCACUGUAAGUACAUCAGCCUUCUCUUAUCAGCAUGCAGAUUCCAGCCACGCACUCCCCUCGCUCGGCUUUGCACCUUAGACAGCAGAAGCACAUUUAAAAAUUAACUUUCCUAAGCCAGGAAAGCCAUGUCUGUAAAACUUAUUUUUGAUUUAUCUUUAUUUUUCUCUGAAAAAAGUUCAUGCAUUCUUACCACUUUCCCCCACCUCCUUUGUGACGGUGCUGUUGCUACUGUUGCCACCGCUGUGGUCUUCCCAACAGGACGACGCGCAGAUUCAAAUGAAAUUUCAUGUUAUUGUCUAGCCACUUAAAGUCCAGGGAAAAUGCCUUGUCCUUUUAUAUAACAUGAUGUCUUAAAGAACACAGAGCAUUAU